CGGCCGCCGCCCCCGCCCCCGCCCCUGCGGGCUCCGGCCGGGAAGCCCGUGGUUGGGCGGCGGGCGGACGGUGAGCCCAGGUGCUCGUUGCGUGCGCGGCGGCCCGAGCUCCCGCGAGGCCCUCUCCUCGGAACCGGAGCCUCGCUCCCGCCUCAGACCGGCGGCAGACCCAGAACUAGGCCUUCGGCCUCACAGAAGUAAAUCAUCCCCGGAAGCUCGGGAAAAGGGUAGGUGGUGUUCAGGGUCACCGUGCUUUGUGCCCGAAGCCCGUGCGCCUUCGAAGACCAAGGUGAGGACCCGCGGAGGAAGGGCCAGCGCCGCUGCUUUGAAACACCCGAUGAGCCUGCUGAUGUAGGGAGACACUCAUACUUUCCACCCCAGCCGCGCCCUCCCCACCGUCUCCUUUAUUUCUCGUUUUUUUCUCUUUUAGCUCGUCCGCGCUCAGAUCCAGUCAUCUGGAGUUUGUCGCAGGUGAACUAAGGCCUGGUGGUGGUGGUGGUAGUCGCAGAGUCCUAGCCGACUCUUUGCGACCCCUUGGACUGUAGCCCACCAGGCUCCCCUCUGUCCAUGGGAUUUUCCAGGCAAGAAUACAGAAGUGAAUUGCCAUUUCCUUCUCUUGGGGAUCUUCCCAACCCAGGGAUUGAACUUGGAAUUGCAGGCGGAUUCUUUACCAAUUGAGUCACCAGAGAAGCUCCAAUAAGACCUGGGAAGUGCUAACGAGUUGCUGCAAAUUGAAUUUUAUAGACUGCUACAGGCACAGUGGCAUAUUUAGAGGGGAAAAUAUCCAAGUAUACUCCCCAAUUAAGCUUUACGUGUGUGUGUAUGUUGGUGUGUGUUGGUGAUGAUUUAGUCCUUAAGUCGUGUCCGGCUCUUUGUGACCUCAUGGACUGUAGCCCAGCAGGCGCCUCUGUCCAUGGGGUUUUCCAGGCACACGAAUACUGGAGUAGGUUGUCAUUUCCUUUUCCAGGGGAUCUUCCUAACCGAGGGAUGGAGCUCAGGUCUCCUGCUUCGCAGGUGGAUUCUUUACCAACUGAGCCACCAGGGAAGCCCAAAUAAAGGCCUCGGGGGCAGGGCGGGCGGGGCGCUAAAUUUGCUGCAAAUUGAAUUUUAUAGACUGCUACAGACUCAGUGGCAACAUGGGCAUAUUUGGAGGAGGAAAAUCCAAGUACACCCCCCCAGUUAAGGAGUGUAUCUGUGUGUGUGUGUUGUUCGCUCAGUGGUGUCAGACUCUGCCACUACACCGUGGCGAAUAGGAAUAUUGGAAGAGUGAAAAAAUCCAAGCUUACCUCCCAGUUAAAGGGGGAGGGGGGUGGCAGCUGUGGCGGUGUGUGUAUUGGUCACUUAGUUGUGUCAGACUCUUUGCCACCCCAUGGACUGUAGCCCGCUAGGUUCUUCUGUCCAUGGGAUUCUCCAGGAAAGAAUACUGGAGUGGCUUGCCAUGCCCUUCUCCAGGGGAUCUUUCUGACCCAGGGAUGGAAGCUGUUUCCUGCCUUGGCAGGCAGGUUCUUUACCACUAUCACCACUAUGAGAAGCCCAACCUUUACCUGAGGAUGAUGUAUUCAGGUGGUUUUAUUUCUUCUGCUCUAAACUUCUUGUAAGGCAGCAUUAACUACAAAGGAUAGUAAUAAACGUAAACUAAAUAUACAGCCAUUUACAUGGAAGAAAAAGGCAAGGUAGGAAACAAAUCAGAAGAAACAAGAUCCCUUCAAAAAUCAGUAUCAAAAAAUUGAUUUAAGUGGUAUCUAACCGGUUACAUUAUUGCUAACCUAAUCAAGAGAUGGGAUGAUGUGGGAGGAAAGGACCAGAAAUCACAACUGAUGGGAAAAAAUUUAUUUUAAUCAGGUAGCCUUAUUUGUCAAAAGGUCAGAUUUUUGCUGUUUGGGAGGACCAGCAGAGGCCUACUUAGUGCCCUCUAAUGCUGUCAGUAACUAAGAGGAAAACUGCCAGUGACUGAAAUGGAAGAAAAAGAAAAACGAGAGUGUUUUAAGUGCAAUUUUUAACACUUUUGUAACAAGACAUCACGUUGGAACAGCACAGAAAAUAGUACAGAAGUCUCAUGCACAAACAGCUUGAAAGCUGGCAGCAAAAUUUAUUACUAAUUUCUUGUUCAGUGAUUGGAUGUCUGCUGAACCUAUUACACGCCCUUUGAUCAAAACAGCAAACUGGGCUGAGCUACAGAGAGAAACAGCUUUAGCAGUGUACAGUCCAUACCGGUUAUUCUGCAUUGGAGCAGUUCAGCGUUCCCAGUGACUGUAGACACAGCUGCCUCAGAUGAUGAGAAUCGACUAUUUACCGAAGAAGGCCUUGGAGACUAAAGUUUUUUCCAUAAACAAGAGGCAGACAGAGGACACAGCGGGGAUCUGUCCCUGGAAUGCCCCAUAGGAUUCUGCUCAGGUACUGGACUGCUCUUAACCAAAAACUUCCAGCAGCAUGAUCACUGGUGAGGGAAAUCCUGAAAAGUCCAAACAG
ensembl:lncRNA